AACACUGUUAACCUGCGGUACCUGCGGAAGGAUCAUUACCGAGUUUACAACUCCCAAACCCCUGUGAACAUACCUAUACGUUGCCUCGGCGGAUCAGCCCGCGCCCCGUAAAAAGGGACGGCCCGCCCGAGGACCCCUAAACUCUGUUUUUAGUGGAACUUCUGAGUAAAACAAACAAAUAAAUCAAAACUUUCAACAACGGAUCU
rnacentral:misc_RNA from 1 species